GGAGAGAUGUCCGAGUGGUUGAAGGAGCACGCCUGGAAAGCGUGUGUAGGGGAAACCCUACCAGGGGUUCGAAUCCCCUUCUCUCCGCCA
rnacentral:tRNA from 1 species